UCCGUAGGUGAACCUGCGGAAGGAUCAUUAUUGAAUAAACCUGAUGUGGUUGUUGCUGGCUCUCUAGGGAGCAUGUGCACACCCGUCAUCUUUAUAUUUCCACCUGUGCACCUUUUGUAGACCCAGAGGACUUGAGCAAUCGAGUCGUUUGGGCCUAUGUCUUAUCAUAUACCCCAUAGUAUGUAUUAGAAUGUAUCAGUGGGCUUCGUGCCUAUAAACACUAUACAACUUUCAGCAACGGAUCUCUUGGCUCUCGCAUCGAUGAAGAACGCAGCGAAAUGCGAUAAGUAAUGUGAAUUGCAGAAUUCAGUGAAUCAUCGAAUCUUUGAACGCAUCUUGCGCUCCUUGGUAUUCCAUGGAGCAUGCCUGUUUGAGUGUCACGUAAACCCUCACCCUGGUGAUGUCUAACGUCGCCUGUGGUGGAUUUGGACCGUGCCGUAAUUGGCUCGUCCUGAAAUGCAUUAGCUUGCGCUUUUUAGAGUGCUCGGCAUGGUGUGAUAAUUAUCUGCGCCAUUGCCUUAGGGCCUCUUCUGGUGGUGGCGGCUGGCUUCCAAUGGUCCCUUGGUGGGACAACAUAUUUUAAGGCUUUGGGGCCUCAAAUCAGGGGGUAGGGGGGACUACCCGGGCUGAACUUAA
rnacentral:rRNA from 1 species